AUUGAACGCUGGCGGCAUGCUUUACACAUGCAAGCCGAACGGUAACAGGCCGCAAGGUGCUGGCGAGUGGCGAACGGGUGAGUAAUGCAUCGGAACGUGCCCAGUCGUGGGGGAUAACGCAGCGAAAGCUGUGCUAAUACCGCAUACGAUCUAUGGAUGAAAGCGGGGGACCGUAAGGCCUCGCGCGAUUGGAGCGGCCGAUGUCAGAUUAGGUAGUUGGUGGGGUAAAGGCUCACCAAGCCAACGAUCUGUAUCUGGUCUGAGAGGACGACCAGCCACACUGGGACUGAGACACGGCCCAGACUCCUACGGGAGGCAGCAGUGGGGAAUUCUGGACAAUGGGCGCAAGCCUGAUCCAGCAAUGCCGCGUGCAGGAAGAAGGCCUUCGGGUUGUAAACUGCUUUUGUACGGAACGAAAAGGUUUGGGUUAAUACCCUGGGCCGAUGACGGUACCGUAAGAAUAAGCACCGGCUAACUACGUGCCAGCCGCCGCCGUAACAC
rnacentral:rRNA from 1 species